CCGAGUUAGGGUACUCCUCGUGCCCGACCUCCAACCCUUUGUCUACCUGACCAGAUGUUGCUUCGGCAGGCCCGCCGCCCCGCAAGGGGUAGCCGCCGGGGGCCCUUACCGGCUCCGGGUCCGCGCCUGUCGAUGGCCCUCUAUAAACUCUUGCUUAAACCGUGUCGUCUGAGUAAAACAAACAAAUAAACAAAACUUUCAACAACGGAUCUCUUGGUUCUGGCAUCGAUGAGAACGCAGCGAAAUGCGAUAAGUUAAUGCGAAUUGCAGAAUCCGUGAGUCAUCGAAUCUUUGAACGCACAUUGCGCCCUCUGGUAUUCCGGGGGGCAUGCCUGUUCGGAAGCGUCAUUAUCACCCCUCAAGCCCGGCUUGUUGUUGGAUGUUGGCGGCGGCCUUUAGUGGCGUACCGCCCGUCUCAAGGAUAAUGACGGCGUCUGUGAGGACACCUGUACACUGAGCUUUCGGGCACGUACUAGGCUGAUACUCGCAGACACGGUCUUUACGGCUCGCCUCGGCGGCCGAACUUUCUAAGGUGACCUCGGAUCAGGUAGGAACACCCGCUGAACUUAAGCAUAUCAAUAAGCGGAGGAAUCGUUCCCUUGGUCAUUUAGAGGAAGUAAAAGUCGUAACAAGGUUUCCGUAGGUGAACCUGCGGAAGGAUCAUUACAAGAAACGAGGCGCGUGCGCUCGCCCGCCCGGCCCCGCUCCUUACCUUGCCUACUGCACCGUUUGUUGCUUCCUGGCGGCGGACUGCCCGCCGCCAGGACGUUGAUACAACCCUGUAUAGAAGCAUUGAAGCUCUGAGAAAAUGCGAAGUCGCUA
rnacentral:misc_RNA from 1 species